GACAGAGGAUGCAAGCGUUAUCCGGAAUGAUUGGGCGUAAAGCGUCUGUAGGUGGCUUUUUAAGUCCGCCGUCAAAUCCCAGGGCUCAACCCUGGACAGGCGGUGGAAACUACCAAGCUGGAGUACGGUAGGGGCAGAGGGAAUUUCCGGUGGAGCGGUGAAAUGCGUAGAGAUCCGGAAGAACACCGGUGGCGAAGGCGGCCUGCUGGGCAGUAGCUGACACUGAGGCGCGACAGCGUGGGGAGCAAACAGG
rnacentral:rRNA from 1 species